ensembl:lncRNA
GUACACAGCCUAAAAUACAAAGACAUUCAAGCAGUGCGAUGCAUGAGGAGUCUGCCAUGCAGACCAGCGAUCCUGAUCCUGUUGUUGGCCUUGGAUGAUGAGGUCCAGUUACCAGGAUCACUACUCUGCAGCUCACUGAUCCCAUCCUGCAGCUCAUCCAUGCCGUCCUCCUCUCAACAGACCAAAUCAAGAAAAACUAAGCAGGAUGCUACUGUGGAUCUGCUCUUCAGAUUAGCUCUGCUGUGAUUAACAAUCUGCCUUCAUCGCAGUCACAGCCAACGGGGAAGAUGGUCUUAAGGUUAAUUGCGAGGCAGAGGUCAGCUGUUGCCUGGAUAUCCGGGAUCACGUCACUGGUGGGACACAAUUGUACUGGAUUUCAGCUGAAGGCUGCUGUUCUGUCCAAACUGUCAUGAGACAUUGACAUUUUUAUUGUGAUAUACCCACCACUGUUGUUAGUUUUUGUUUCAAUAAAUAGUUUGAGAUGAGGAAAUCGCUAUUGCAUGCUUCUACUUAAAUGCCCUACUUUCAUGAUUUGGUAUCACCAUAGCAUGAAUUUUUUACAUUUUCCAUAAAUUUCACCCAAAAGUUGAAUAACUAUUUGUGAGCGGUGUAUGUAUACACGUCAUCUAAGCACACUUCAAUAAUAUAUCUGCUGCAGUAGUGCAGUUUAUCUAUCUUGCUUGGUGUGAUAUGUUCAAAAGCACCACUAAUUAUCUGUCAAAAUGUGUGUAACAGAAGUGUGCACUGAACACUGAAUAAAGUCUGUAGAUUAUAGACAAAACACGCAUCUUUCAUCACAAAUUUCUGUUUAUUCCCCCAAUGUGCAAGAGUUAAAAUACAAAACAGGUGAAGUUAAAUAACUAAAAUGUAAAAGAAUUUACAAAAAAGAAGAUUUUUUUUUUUUUUUUUAAAAAGAUCAGAAGUAGUGGAUAAUGCAGUUUAUUUCUGUGACAGUCUCUCCAGCACUGACACCGUACGUCCCAUCAGUCCAACCAAGGUGUUUGAAUUUUCAUCCAUCCUCUGGAUGUUCUGGAGCAUAGCAGUGGUCAGAUCUUGGUGUCUCCUCAACUGUUCCUCUGACCUCUCCAGAUACUGCAGCAGAUCCACAGUAGCAUCCCGCUUCCUUUUUCCUGCAUAAAAGCACCCA